rnacentral:lncRNA from 1 species
AAUUGCUUAACUUAAUGGGAGAGAACACCGGGCUUGGUUCCGUACUCCCUCAAUCCAAGAAGGAACUCCACAAGCAAGGAACCAUUACUUUCCGAGCAUAUUAGCGAAAAGGCUCAUACAGAGGCAAGGAGGCCAAAAGCUUUCUUUAUUUGUUAGCUUCCCGAAGAGAGGAGAUGCGUCUUCGAAUCAACCCUUGAACCUAACCCUCGGAAGGAUGGUCUUGGCUGUCCUUUGGCUUAUUCCCCGAUCGGAAUGGACAACUGGUGACCUCGGGUGAGGGGCACGAAGGUAAUCAGUCUUGCUUUCCAGUCUCACCCAAGAGUCCCCGAAAGGGCCACUAGUAAGACUCUAUCUUAUCUUCGAUUACUAUACUAUUUUCUUAAUUGAUGUAUGUAGUUUCAUAUCAUAGAAGAAUUACGGGAAUGGAAUUCAGGCUGAAAAGCGCGAGACACAGAGUAAGGGGUUUACAGAAAGUGGAAUGUGGAAUGGAUAAAGAGAAGAAGAGGUCGACUAGGGCGCCAACUAAGGGCCAAAGAGACAAAGAACCACCAGCGGCUCCACCGAGUUUCCCCGGUAGCCUACCAGUGAG